AUUGAACGCUAGCGGGAUGCCUUACACAUGCAAGUCGAACGGAGUGGCGAACGGGUGAGUAAUGUAUCGGAACGUGCCCAGUAGCGGGGGAUAACUACGCGAAAGCGUAGCUAAUACCGCAUACUAUUGGAGCGGCCGAUAUCGGAUUAGCUAGUUGGUGGGGUAACGGCUCACCAAGGCGACGAUCCGUAGCUGGUUUGAGAGGACGAGCAGCCACACUGGGACUGAGACACGGCCCAGACUCCUACGGGAGGCAGCAGUGGGGAAUUUUGGACAAUGGGCGAAACUCUGAUCGAGCCAUGCCGCGUGAGUGAAGAAGGCCUUCGGGUUGUAAAGCACUUUUGGCAGGAAAGCGGUACCUACAGAGUAAGCACCGGCUAACUACGUGCCAGCAGCCGCGGUAAUUC
rnacentral:rRNA from 1 species